CGGAGCGGAGCGGGGCUGAGGCGCGCAGCGGAGAUGAACGCCGUUCUCGCCGUGAAGCAGUACGUGUCGAAAAUGAUCGAGGACAGCGGGCCGGGCAUGAAGGUGCUCCUGAUGGACCGGGAGACGCCCGGCGCGGUCAGCAUGGUGUACACGCAGUCCGAGAUCCUGCAGAAGGAGGUUUACCUCUUCGAGCGCAUCGACUCCCCCGGCAGGGAGCCCAUGAAGCACCUGAAGGCCGUCUGCUUCCUGCGGCCCACCAAGGAGAACGUGCACUGCCUCAUUCAGGAGCUGCGGAGGCCGAAGUACAGCAUCUAUUAUAUCUAUUUCAGUAAUGUGAUCAGUAAGAGUGAUAUCAAGGCAUUAGCUGAGGCUGAUGAACAGGAAGUUGUGGCAGAAAUUCAGGAGUUCUAUGGAGAUUACAUUGCAGUGAAUCCACACGUUUUUUCUCUCAACCUCUUGGGCUGCUGCCAGGGUCGCAGCUGGGAUCCAGCCCAGCUGUCCAGGACAACUCAAGGGCUGACUGCUCUGCUUCUGUCCCUGAAGAAAUGCCCCAUGAUUCGAUACCAACUCUCUUCUGAGCCAGCAAAGAGGCUUGCUGAAUGUGUGAAGCAAGUAAUCACUAAAGAGUAUGAGCUGUUUGACUUCCGUCGCACUGAGGUUCCUCCUUUGCUCCUUAUUCUGGACCGCUCAGACGAUGCCAUCACCCCCCUGCUGAACCAGUGGACGUACCAGGCUAUGGUUCAUGAAUUGCUGGGCAUCAACAACAACCGCGUUGACCUCUCGCGUGUGCCGGGCAUCAGUAAGGAUCUCCGAGAGGUGGUCCUGUCUGCUGAGAACGACGAGUUCUACGCCAACAACAUGUACCUGAACUUUGCAGAGAUUGGCAGUAACAUCAAGAAUCUUAUGGAGGAUUUCCAGAAGAGGAAACCUAAGGAGCAGCAGAAGCUGGAAUCCAUAGCAGAUAUGAAGGCAUUCGUGGAGAACUACCCUCAGUUCAAGAAGAUGUCAGGCACGGUGUCAAAGCACGUGACGGUGGUAGGAGAGCUCUCGCGACUGGUUGGUGAGCGCAACCUGCUGGAGGUGUCCGAGGUGGAGCAGGAGCUGGCCUGUCACAGCGACCAUUCCAGCGCCCUCCAGAAUGUGCGGCGCCUCCUGCAGAACCCCAAGGUGACUGAGCUCGAUGCUGCCCGGCUGGUGAUGCUCUAUGCCCUGCACUACGAGCGGCACAGCAGCAACAGCCUGCCAGGGCUGAUGGCAGAUCUCAAGAAUAGGGGUGUUUCUGAGAGAUACCGAAAGCUGGUCUCUGCUGUUGUGGAAUAUGGAGGGAAACGGGUCCGGGGCAGCGACCUGUUCAGUCCCAAGGAUGCUGUGGCCAUCACAAAACAGUUCCUCAAAGGACUGAAGGGUGUUGAGAAUGUGUACGCACAACACCAGCCUCUCCUUCAAGAAACACUGGAUCAGCUCAUCAAAGGAAAACUGAAGGACAGCCAGUACCCCUACUUGGGUCCCAACACGCUCCGUGACAGACAAUCCACAGCUGCUUAUCAGAUCCCUUCAUUGCUGUGCUUCGCCUUCCCUUUGAUUUCCGUUCCCAAGAGACUUGGGCACAUUUGCAUCUAGUUUUCAGAGCGGCCUGCCUGAACGCAGGCAAAAAGACAAGGUGCAGCACUGCUGUGCUCUGGGGCUGCUCAGUGGCUCAUGCUGUCGCUGCAGGGCAGAGCCCUCAGUCUGCCUGAGCAAGAUGUCUGAACCUGCACAACUUGGGUGUGCGCUUGCUGUAUAUAACCUGCUUGUCUUAAGGCGGCAGUGCAAAUUUCACAGCCUGUUCCUGCACAGGAGACACAGAGUAGCUCUGCAGGGAGACAAGCACACGGAAUCCCAGUCUCCGUAAGGGAAGCUGAUGCAGCACAGACUGAAAUCGCGUCCCGUGCUCCGGGCUGCAUGGCUGAGCCGUGCACAAGGACACUUGCCACUGUGUCCAGAGAGUGCUGGCAUAAGGCAUCUGAUAGAACGUGUUGUAAUCAUGUGGGCUUCUCUGCAGAGGAUUCCAUUCUAACUCUUGUACGUUACAAGGAGGCUCUGCAGUAAGUUGCUCACAGGUUUCAGGCACUGAGGCUGCAGUUUUCCCUCUCCUCCCCACACCGUCAGUCUGCCUCCACCUCCUAAAGUAUCCUGAAGACUUUGUUUUGGCUGUUCAGGGCAUGUUAUGCUGACCUAACCGAAGAAAACACCCAUGCUUAUUGAUUGUUGAAGAUUAUUGGUAACAAUGGUGGCUUUGAGGAGGGAUUUUUCUUACCUUUCUGCAUCCUUUCCAGGGGCAGGGAGGCAGUAGUGUGCACCCGAUGCUAACACACUUGUUUGGAGCCAGCAUCCCAUUCUGUUGGCAGAAGCAGUUCUGCUCUUUGUAGGGCUCUCUUGUCAGUGACAGCUCUUCUGAAGUGAGUGCCGCGGCUCCUCCGGGCAGUAACAGGUCUCUGGGGCUUUCCAGAGUGGCUUCUCAGCAAGGAGUAACCAAAGACAGCAUUAAGGUGCAUGCCAGGGUCAUCCCUGUCUUAUGCUUCAUUUGCUUUGUCACUGAUCCAGAGCUUGCACAGGCAGAGCAGAUGAAUGCCUGCUGCUUUUACCACUGCAGCAAGUGCCUGUGUUCUAACAGAGGUGCCUGCUUGGAAAGCAGAGACUAGUUUUGAGACUGUGACAGAAAGUUAAUUGUGUUGAGACUUGCCUGCUCUCCAGAGUUGAAACACUCUGGUUCCAGCAGGGGAUGGUGUGCAGCUGAUGGGAUGCAAUCCAGACCUUUCACUAUAGAUUGUGCAGAAAUCGUUCUUUUAGCUUCUAGGUGGUAGCAAAAGCUGAUUUAUGGGUGGUAAGCACAUUGUGCUAUCCUUGAGAACGGAAAGGCAUUGGGGAGAAUGGUGCAGGGAAAGACCAGCCUUCCCUUGAAAGCAGAACAUGCAGGACAUGAGCCUGGUUUUGCAUUUUGCUAGAUGCAGACACUUCCCAUCUCCCUUCCUCCUUUUUCCUCUGUAAAAUCCUGUAUUUAGGAUUCCUUAGGGAAUGUAGCCUUGGAGGUAAACCCAAGCAUAAAUCCUCUGUUCUGUAAUCAACCAGCAAAACUGCAGCUGAUCCGUGCCCUUCCAACCAACCCGAGAGCACUGAAGCUCCACUGCUGUCCUCGUUUGACUCCAAAUUGAUCUGAAUUUAACAGCCACAGCGGCGUCUCCAUCAUGCAUUGAACAUCGGUGAUGCGUGGCGGUGGAGCUCCGCAGGGAUACGGCGUGUGGGUGUGCAGAGGAGGCUGUCAGCACCGCGAGCACGGAGUGUAAAUGUUUAGGAGGGACAGUGUUUGAAAGGCCACUUCAUGGGCUGUGUGUUGUCAGUCUUCGGCCCAGCCCAUCACAGAAAUGAAACGUGGUCUGCGAGAGAAACCAGCAGGACUGCUGCCUCCGUGCCAUAGCUGGUACGGGAUUCAUGCAGGUCUGUAUUUGUGUCUUUA